UCCAAAUAUAUCUGGAGGCUUUUUCCAAAUAUAUUUCACGAACGCCUCAUCCAACCGCCUCCCCCACCCUGCUCUAUGUAUUGCGGUGCUCCUGGAGGGUUUCUCAGCCCGGCCCACGUGGCUUUGAACUCUUCUAACGCGCUUCUCCCGACGACGGCAGAAGGGCGCGGAAUAAAUGCAUAAAUAAUGGCAGCGCGAUUCAUUAUGGCACCGAGCAGGAGCCGCGAUGCGACAGCUGGGCAGCGUGCGCGUCUGGAAGAUAAAAGCAGCCCGGCAUGGGAUCUUCAGAGAGCCGUCCCCCUUUCUUCCGGGGAGCACGAGAUCAAGAUUCUUCCCAUCACAACUGAGAUGAUCCAAAGAGAAACUUGGAACACCAGCAGUGUCUCAUAUUUACUGAGCAUCCCAGAACAGCUGGGCGAAUAUAGAGUAAAAAUGUCAGUUUACACAGUUUUGUAUUUGUAUUAUCUGGCAACUGAAAGUCAUUAUAAUAAGCUGAGAGCCCAAAUAUUGCAGUAACUACUUGUUGGAUUAAAGAUGAAGGCACUAGCUUGUACUUUUGUUUUGUAACUGAGAGUGUAUUAAAACAUUUAAUACCUUGCAAGGAGUUUCUCAGGUUGCUAACAUAUCUACAAUGCCAGUCCCACUCACACAUAAAUAGAAUUUGUCUUGAUGGCAAAGAAUUCAUAAAGACAUAAGACCAUUUACAGGCACAGCCUUUUUACAUUUAAUAAAUGCAUAUUCAGAGUAUCUAGAAGUGUUUGCAAUUAUUUUAUUAGUCACUCACACUAUAGAUGUAGAGAUGACCUUUUGCAAGAACCAGAUGUUCCAGAACAGUUAGUGAAAUAUAAUCAUUAUUUGUAGCUGAAUCUUUUCAUAGAAUCCUAAAAAAUAGAAUCGGGCAUAUAAAGUACAAGUAGUCCUCGACUUUCUUCAGUUAAUUUAAUAACCACUCAAAGUUACAAUGUCACUGAAAAAAAUGACUUAUGACUCCUUCUCACAUUUAUGACUAUUGCAGCAUCCUUAUGGCCAUAUGAUCAAAAUUCAAAUGCUUGGCAACUGACUUAUUAUUUAUGAUGGUUGCUGUAUCCUGGGGUCAUGUGAUUGCAUUUUGCAAACUUCUGACAAGCAAAGUCAAUGGGGAAGCCAGAUUCAUUUAACAACCAUGUUACUAACUUAACAACUGCAGUGAUUCACUUAAUAAUUGUGGCAAAAAAGAUUGUAAAGGCAAAACUCACUUAACAACUGUCUCACUUAGCAAUAGAAACUUUGGGCUCAAUUAUAGUUAGUUGAGGACUAUCUGUAACAUCAGCACCCCGCUACAAAUGGACUGUGUUCAAAGACUGAAGAAAGUUUUAGGAUUAAUAUUUGUAGGAAAUGCCGUACAUAAUCAAACACUUGCAAAUCACAUCACAACACAGUACAUGCAACAGCAACCUAAUCUUAGGUUGUAUCUUACAUUCACGUUGAUCUUUCAUCCCUAAUUUGAGAACCAGCAUUAAGGACAAAUAGCUGAAACAGGAUGAGCAAUCUUCUCAUUCCCAUUCAUGGCACAUUGAUCAGCUAAAGAAUAAAGAGAUAUAGAAAGGGGAAGUUACUCCUGAUAGAGUUGGAAGCUGUGUUGCAAUUCUUGAGCUAUGAUCAUUGCCCAACCAAUGUUAUUUGCUGCAUGGUUGCCAGUAGUUCAACAUGUAGACUAUAAAUAAAACAUCAUCUAUGUCUUGUACGGAGCAGUAUAGUGGGUUGAAUUCUUGUUUAUAAUCAAUGAAUUAUGCAUGCUUCUGAUGUUGUAUUGUUACUGUGGUAAUCCUUUAUGUCAAGUUUUACAUGUGUACAGCAACCAAUAAAAGAUCUGGCUUUGGUCUCUUUGAUCAGUAAUGUAUAAUGUAUAAUCACAUGAAUGUUCAUAAGUAUUUUAACACUUUUGUCAUCCUACACCUUCGUUAGCAGCAAUGAAGUGCUGAGGGGAGGAAACACAAUAAGAAGAAAAAGGGUUACAGUUCAGGAAAGAUGCAAACUAAAAGAAAAGCCUAUGUUUAUAUCCUUAUAAAAUUUGAAAUUCUGAAAAAGAUGCUGACUAACAUUGCAAACUGAUGGAUUUGUGAAGAUUCCCAAAUGGCAGAAUCUCUGUUUGUUUCUAGCCCUUAUCUAUUAGUUAAAAUAAAUGUUAAGUGGCAAAUCA